CGAGACAUCGAGGGAAACAGAAGCCCUUUGUGAGCGGCUCAGCAUCACCUCACUUUAGCGAUGUCCCUGGGAUGGCGUGGGGCCCGCAGUGCUUGAACGGUCUUUCCUCCAGGGAUUUACUAACCCCAGGCACUAAGGAUGGCCUGCGCUAGGGGUAAAGAAUUCACCUGCCAAUGCGGGAGACGCAAGAGACAUGGGUUCAAUCUAGGAUACUAGGAUGGACUGGAGCUAUUUUGUUGGUUCUUCACCUGGAGGGCCUCCAGCCUGGAGACCUCCAUUCCCACCACACGUGUCUGUAUCAGCUGCCUACCGCAGCCCUGCCUGCUCCAGGAAGAGGACCAGGGCCCCCAGAAGCAACAACCUCGGCUGGACUGAGCAAUGACCAUGAUGGCUCGAGGGGCCCAGGUGUUCUCUGGCUCAGAGCGAAGGCAGAACCUGGUGUGUUCCCAUUCCCUUCGUUCAGUCAUGUCUGACUCUUUGUGACCCCACAGACUGUAGCCUGCCAGACUUCUCUGUCUAUGGGAUUCUCCAGGUGGAUUCUUUAUCACUGAGCCAUCCCAGUGAACUAAGUUUAAAGGUCCCUCUGUCCAAUCCCUGCUGCAACAGACAAGCUGGCUGCUUCAGAAGGCAGGAAUGGGUGCCCUCCAGUGUCCCAGCAUAUCUGAUGCAAAGGCAGGAUGCAAAUGCACAUCCUCAGCCGACAUCACGUCUGCCGCCACCCUGUCCUCAGAGCAGUGUCCUGGGGCUGCUGACAGUGGACAGCACGGACACUAAAAGCUGCUCCCCAGCACCUCAUCCAGUGCCGCGGGGCCAGGCUUCUCCCUGUCUCUGGGCCCCGAGCGACUUUCCCAUCUCCUGGCCUGUGUCCUCCGCUGCUCAUUCGAAGACAACCAAGACCUUAUCCUCAGGGCACUGGGCAGUCUCCCUGGUACCCUGAGGCCAUCUCGAGCUUGACCCGGCUCUUCACAGAGGCAGGACCUCCCUGAGGUGCUGGGUCCUGGGAGCUGAGGGAUGGGAGCCUGGUCGGAGAUCCUGGCUGCCCCGGGGGGUUAGCCCAGCACACUGCGGUUCGCAGCCCAGCCCUCUGGCCUGCUCACUUCCGUCUGAUGAGUCAGUCAUCAGCCGCCUUUGGUGACUUGUCAGCAGAACUCCAGUGGCUUUGGGGCGGAGAUGAAAGGGGAAGAGGGGGUACCUCUCCCUCCUGAGGAUGAUAACUUUUCUCAAAGGCUUCGUGGGCAAGGCCUGGCUUCCCUUGGCAUCCCCCUCCCAGCCCCCCAGCCCCCAGCCCUGCCGCUUUACUACCAGGAGGUCAAGUUGUGAAAUUCCAGCUACUGCCAGGAAUGGGAAUUGCCCGCCUCUUUUGCCCUCAAUGGAGUAGUGUUGAAACACUCAACAGCAGGGACUGCCUCCACCUCCGAGUUCCUCUUCUGAGCCAGUAAGGAUGAGUCCUCAUUGGAGACAUGAACAAGACAAUGAGGCCAGGGAGGCCUGGUGGCUCGGGAGUGUGGGGAGCGGGUGCUGGAGGGCAGAGGGAGACUGCCUCUUCUCAUGAUGACAUGACUCCAUGAUGCAAGACAGGAGGCACUUCCCCUCAUGGGCAGGGUCGGCCUGGUUUCCUGAUGCAGCCCCGCAUGUGGCUAGGAAGAGAGGUUCUUUUCUUGAGGAAUUUAGUGGAAAACAGCAGAAUUGUGGAGUCUACAUCUCCCAGAGAGGGAAGUAUGGGCCUCCAGGCUCUGGCAACACCCCACACUGCUUCCUUUGUAUUCUGAAAUAUUCCAGGCCCACGUUUUGAAGACUUAGUCCCAUAGGUGGUCAUAUGAGAAACAACAAGGCCUGUGGUGCUGGGCUGACCCCACUGCUUCGGUCCUGGGUCACCCCUUCCUCUCCCCCUUCCUACGGUCCUCUGAGGCUUCAUCUCCCUACUGUGUCACCAGUUUCCUCCUCAUGUCUCUUCAUAGGGUACAAUCUCUUCUUCGAACUAAUUUGUAAAAAUUUCAUUUGCAAUGCAGAAAGGAUAUGCCAGAAACUGAAGAGACUGGAGUGAGAUGGAAGGGGUAAGGGAAUGAGACGGGGCAGGCAGUGGGGUGGGGUAAGAAAGUGUAGCUCUUCUCUGGGGAGACCUUCAUAUAUGGCUUCAACUUAUGGAACCAUAGCAAUAUUUUACAUAUCUCAAAUGAAAUAAAUAGAGGACUUCCCUGCUGGUCCAGUGGCUAAGACUCUGCGCUCCCAGUGCAGGGGGCCCAGGUCUGACCCCUGGUCAGGGAACUAGAUCCCAUAUGCUGCAACUAAGACUUGGUGCAGCCAAAUACAUACAUAAAUUUUAAAAAUUUAAAAAAUGAAAUAAAUCAACCAGGAUCCGGGGAGGCACGGGGGGAAAAAGUAGGAACCAAACAACAAAUUACCUUCAUUGUACUAUUAAAUGAUUAGCAGAACUACACUGUAAGGA